rnacentral:piRNA from 1 species
GUGGUGGUGGUGUGGUGGUGUGGUGGUGGUU